AACGAUAUGUGGAGCGGUGAAAUGCGUAGAUAUAUAUCGGAACGCCAAUGGCGAAGGCAGCUAACUGGGCUUUGUCUGACGCUCAGGUACGAAAGCGUGGGUAGCGAACGGGAUUAGAUACCCCGGUAGUCCACGCCGUAAACGAUGCACACUAGGUCGCGGUACCUCUCAUGGUUUCGCGGCCGAAGGUAAACUGGUAAGUGUGCCGCCUGGGGAGUACGGUCGCAAGGCUAAAACUCAAAGGAAUUGACGGGGGCUCACACAAGCGGUGGAGCAUGUUGCUUAAUUCGAGGCAACGCGAAGAACCUUACCUAGGCUUGACAUGUAUGGAUUAGCAUUAUGAAAGUUUUGUAACGCCCUUGGGUGGAACAUACACAGGUGCUGCAUGGCUGUCGUCAGCUCGUGUCGUGAGAUGUUGGGUUAAGUCCCGCAACGAGCGCAACCC
rnacentral:rRNA from 1 species